rnacentral:rRNA from 1 species
GACGAACGCUGGCGGCGUGCCUAACACAUGCAAGUCGAGCGAGGGGAGUUCUUCGGAACAAACCUAGCGGCGGACGGGUGAGUAACACGUGGGUAACCUGCCUCAAAGAGGGGGAUAGCCUUCCGAAAGGAAGAUUAAUACCGCAUAAUCCAUUGUUUCCGCAUGGUAGUUUGAUCAAAGGAGCAAUCCGCUAUAAGAUGGGCCCGCGGCGCAUUAGCUAGUUGGUGAGGUAACGGCUCACCAAGGCGACGAUGCGUAGCCGACCUGAGAGGGUGAUCGGCCACAUUGGGACUGAGACACGGCCCAGACUCCUACGGGAGGCAGCAGUGGGGAAUAUUGCACAAUGGGGGAAACCCUGAUGCAGC